GACGAACGCUGGCGGCGUGCUUAACACAUGCAAGUCGAACGGAAAGGCCCUGCUUUUGUGGGGUGCUCGAGUGGCGAACGGGUGAGUAACACGUGAGUAACCUGCCCUUGACUUUGGGAUAACUUCAGGAAACUGGGGCUAAUACCGGAUAGGAGCUCCUGCUGCAUGGUGGGGGUUGGAAAGUUUCGGCGGUUGGGGAUGGACUCGCGGCUUAUCAGCUUGUUGGUGGGGUAGUGGCUUACCAAGGCUUUGACGGGUAGCCGGCCUGAGAGGGUGACCGGCCACAUUGGGACUGAGAUACGGCCCAGACUCCUACGGGAGGCAGCAGUGGGGAAUAUUGCACAAUGGGCGGAAGCCUGAUGCAGCAACGCCGCGUGCGGGAUGACGGCCUUCGGGUUGUAAACCGCUUUCGCCUGUGACGAAGCGUGAGUGACGGUAAUGGGUAAAGAAGCACCGGCUAACUACGUGCCAGCAGCCGCGGUGAUACGUAGGGUGCGAGCGUUGUCCGGAUUUAUUGGGCGUAAAGGGCUCGUAGGUGGUUGAUCGCGUCGGAAGUGUAAUCUUGGGGCUUAACCCUGAGCGUGCUUUCGAUACGGGUUGACUUGAGGAAGGUAGGGGAGAAUGGAAUUCCUGGUGGAGCGGUGGAAUGCGCAGAUAUCAGGAGGAACACCAGUGGCGAAGGCGGUUCUCUGGGCCUUUCCUGACGCUGAGGAGCGAAAGCGUGGGGAGCGAACAGGCUUAGAUACCCUGGUAGUCCACGCUGUAAACGGUGGGUACUAGGUGUGGGGUCCAUUCCACGGGUUCCGUGCCGUAGCUAACGCUUUAAGUACCCCGCCUGGGGAGUACGGCCGCAAGGCUAAAACUCAAAGGAAUUGACGGGGCCCCGCACAAGCGGCGGAGCAUGCGGAUUAAUUCGAUGCAACGCGUAGAACCUUACCUGGGUUUGACAUGGAUCGGGAGUGCUCAGAGAUGGGUGUGCCUCUUUUGGGGUCGGUUCACAGGUGGUGCAUGGCUGUCGUCAGCUCGUGUCGUGAGAUGUUGGGUUAAGUCCCGCAACGAGCGCAACCCUUGUUCACUGUUGCCAGCACGUUAUGGUGGGGACUCAGUGGAGACCGCCGGGGUCAACUCGGAGGCAGGUGGGGAUGACGUCAAGUCAUCAUGCCCCUUAUGUCCAGGGCUUCACGCAUGCUACAAUGGCUGGUACAGAGAGUGGCGAGCCUGUGAGGGUGAGCGAAUCUCGGAAAGCCGGUCUCAGUUCGGAUUGGGGUCUGCAACUCGACCUCAUGAAGUCGGAGUCGCUAGUAAUCGCAGAUCAGCAACGCUGCGGUGAAUACGUUCCCGGGGCU
rnacentral:rRNA from 1 species